UGGGCAACCUGCCCUCAGCUCUGGGAUAACUCCAAGAAAUUGGGGCUAAUACCGGAUAUGACCGCUGACCGCAUGGUCUGGUGGUGGAAAGAUUUAUCGGCUGGGGAUGGGCCCGCGGCCUAUCAGCUUGUUGGUGGGGUAGUGGCCUACCAAGGCGACGACGGGUAGCCGGCCUGAGAGGGUGACCGGCCACACUGGGACUGAGACACGGCCCAGACUCCUACGGGAG
rnacentral:rRNA from 1 species